CGAGUUUCCAUAAUUUUUUUGAGUUCUGGGAACUAAUUAGAUUUUACAGUGUAUAAGCAUAAGUAUCCACACAGAACAGGCUUAAUUUUGACCUUAACAUGUGAACGAGGGCAAUACAAUUGAAGCAAAAGUAGAAAAUGAAAUGAGUAAGAACACACAUGCUGGAAAUUGAAACAAAUUCUGCCCAGCAACAUGACAUACCAGCGGUGGGAAGGGGGCGCUAUCUUUUCGCGCCACUGAGACAAAGGAGACAAAGAUGGAGGUUACUUCGCCUAUUAUGUUGUCAGACCUUACAGAGCAUUAUUAUGAUCCAGUCUCCCAUUGUGGAUUCCUAAACUGCGCAACCUUAGACGGAAUCUCGACCAGGGGCAGAGACGUUAUAAGUAGCGAAAAGUGACAGAUGACUGUGGUGAAGACAAGAAGCUCAGGCAAGAGGAUGGGAAUACCAGCAGCACAGAUGAGUGGGUCACCCUGAUCAAAAGAUUGCGGCCCUCAGCUGAGAACCUUCCACCUAUCAUGUCAGGCAUGGAGGAAACAUAAACCAGUCGCAGAGCCUGGAUUAGCAAGGACUCCCCCACUGCCGCUGAAAUAUUCAGAGAGUACCCACGGUUUUUGGACAUGCCAAGUCUGGUGGACUUGGAGUUUGGCAAGCUUACAGGAGGAAAGACGGAUCUCUUUUUACGAAAAUGGGAAGCCAGUAUCAUUCCGAAGCUCAAAUCAGUAGCUGCCCUGGAAACAAGAACCCCCCCUCGCGCGCAUGUUAACACACCUGCUCCCAGCAGUUGGUGCCAGUCGUUGCAGCUUUAAAUCAGCUAUAACGCACUUGGUUGAUUUUGCACUGGUAUGUAUUCAGUAAAGUUCACAUGGUAUUCACCUGAGGAAGGCAUUUGUCUACACCUCACUGAAUACUUCUCUAAAAAUCUAUCUUUAUCUUCCCCAUCUCCAAGCCUGGAACAAGUAUUACAUCGUUUUGCAGUGAUCCUGAAGCAUCAUCCACAACACACCAACC
ensembl:lncRNA